AGUGAACGCUGGCGGUAGGCCUAACACAUGCAAGUCGAACGGCAGCACAGGAGAGCUUGCUCUCUGGGUGGCGAGUGGCGGCCGGGUGAGGAAUACAUCGGAAUCUACUCUGUCGUGGGGGAUAACGUAGGGAAACUUACGCUAAUACCGCAUACGACCUACGGGUGAAAGCAGGGGAUAUUCGGACCUUGCGUGAUUGAAUGAGCCGAUGUCGGAUUAGCUAGUUGGCGGGGUAAAGGCCCACCAAGGCGACGAUCAGUAGCUGGUCUGAGAGGAUGAGCAGCCACACUGGAACUGAGACACGGUCCAGACUCCUACGGGAGGCAGCAGUGGGGAAGAUUGGACAAUGGGCGCAAGCCUGAUCCAGACAUACCGCGUGGGUGAAGAAGGCCUUCGGGUUGUAAAGCCCUUUUGUUGGGAAAGAAAUCCAGCUGGCUAAUACCCGGUUGGGAUGACGGUACCCAAAGAAUAAGCACCGGCUAACUUCGUGCCAGCAGCCGCCGUAA
rnacentral:rRNA from 1 species